ensembl:Mt_tRNA
ACCUUCCUAGUAUUAAAUAAGUAUAAGUGACUUCCAAUCACCUGGCCUUGGUUAAAAUCCAAGGGAAGGUA